AUGGGUUUGGUGGGCUUGUUGGCUCCUCUGGGCCGCUCUGAGGUUCCAGGGCCUGAGGCAAGGCCGGUGGAGAGACCAGCACGACCGGCUGCAGCCAGACACAUCAAGCGUACCAGGGUCCUAAUGUCUGUGAGACCCAGAGACUCCAGUCCAGCUGCUAGACUGCAGCUGGAGCCGCUAAAGGACAAAGAAAUGCAUGAUAAGUAUAAUAUACACCCAUGCAAACAAGGAACACACAUAAAUGUUGUCAAGCUAGACCCACACACACAGCCUCACCUGACUGACAGCAGGGAGAGUGCUCUCAUGACCAUGGUCCUAGCCAGCAGGACCUGCGCGGCUGCUGUAACUCUCCUCAAAGCCACCAGGCGAUCAGCUGAACUCUGCAGCCCUGCUGCCUGCUCCCCCAGAGACAUUCGGCCAGAGGAGCCCUUAUCCACUGAACUUUGGCAGCCUGCAGAAGAGUCUCCUCCAUGCUGUUAGUGGCAGUAACCAUGGCAACAGAUGCACCGAGAGGAUCGGUGUCAGGGAAAUGAACAGGCUCAGGAACAAGUCUGCGUUCGCUGAGUCCCAGUGGUGCAGAGAGCAGCUCAAACUCCUCCUCUCCCGUCAACCGCUCAGUCUCAUCCACAUCUAGCAUGUCCCAGUCCUCUGCAACACAGAACAAACACAUGUGACUGUAUGUGAGGGUGUGCAAGUGUUUUUAUUCCUAAAGAUUCCUCAGAAAAAAUCAACCAAUACCUUCAUAGACACUGUCUUGCUUUCCCAGCAAGUCUGGAGCUUGACCCUUAUACCUGUAUGGAGAAAUAUAUUUAAUACAUAAAGAAAUACAUACAUACAAAAUAAGCAAGCUAGUAAAGUAAAUUAACUAAUAAAUACUAGCUUUAGUUUUUAUCUGCAAAGGUAAGGAAAACAGCACAUACCAUCAAAAUAACUACAACGUGGUAAACAAAGAUACACCGACCUCUCCGGCAAGGCUCCUUUGGUCUUGGUUUUCAUACUGAGGUACUUCUCCCUGCAGUUUCCACAGAGGAGGUAGUAGGGGUUCCCACUCCCGCAUUCGCCCCCAAACCAACCAUCCACAUAGGAGCCGUUACUGCGGUAACCCUGUCGGUUGGCACUGCGCCCACAGCCUGGAUGGCUCUUUUUCAUGUGCUGGUUGAAGCAGGACACAUUUGCCUCACAAAGCUCACACACCACCACCUCCUCACGGUCCUCCGAUUCACACACAUGCUGCGCACAUACACAUCAACAUACACAAACAUGUUCCUGGUCAGACCCAAGACAAAUGGCAGUGGAACUCUUCGAAAGCUGUGAAGCUGCAGCACUGUGUGCAGUGUAAGCAUGUUAGUACUAAAUAAAAAAGAAUUAAGGGUCUUUUCCAUCAAUAAAUCUGUAAAACAUUUUGCUAGUUCACAGCAGCCUGCGCAGCAUGCUCAAAUGCCUAGUGCUUUUGUCAAGUGUGUGUGUUCAGGGUUAAAGUGGUUAAUAUGGAGUAGUAAAGCAGCGGCAGCCCCAGGCUGCGGUCACACACACCCAUGUUGGCCAAUCCAGUACCUCCGGGAUCCACAUUCCCAGUAUGUCCGAGUCGGAGGCCAGCUCCUGGGUGAACAUGGCCUCCAUGGCCUCCUGGUCCAGCUCCAGCUCCAAUUCCUCAUCUAGGUUGAAGUCAUACAGACCUCCCAGAGAGCCAGGGUCUUGUUGCAGGCCAGGGCCCUCCCUCCGUACCUGAGAGCGGUGGGCCUGCACUGAGCGGUAUAGCCCAGCUACAUGUGCACAAACACAUUCAAACAACAACACUGGUUAAAAUGUGCAUGUGCAGGUUAGUUCAGGGCACAGAUGUGAACACAUUAAAGACAGAUAUGAGCUACUUACACAAAUAUGAACAGCCAGAGCACAAAGACCAGAUCAGAAAUAAAUCAAUACGGCUUGUGAUGUGAAUGAAGCAUUAAAGGCUAGGUUUAAGCAUUUGCACUUAGGGCCAGAUAAUAAGGUAAUUAGUGUGUACAGGUGGAGGUUUAAUUCUGUAAAAUAUGUAAGCAUUAAUUAAAAGCAUUAAGAAUACCUGCACGAGCCAAUAAAGUACGUGCCGCAAGGUCAAAGCGAUGCUUCCUACUGGCUGCUGAGCGCCCUCUGGGGGCAUGGCCAGUGGAGGCAGAGGCAGAGUCUUGAUCUAGUCCUUCAGGGCUGAGGACAGAGAAAUUCUACUGUCAGUCUGAGUUACUCAUAUUUCAGCUGGAAUAGUCACAUGAUACAAAAUGAUAAAGGGCUGUCACUUCAUUAAAUCUCAAUGAAUUGGAAAUAACAAUCAACAAAAAUACCAGGGUAAUCAGAUCAUGCUACCUUUCAAAUUGAAGGUUAAACACUUCCCACAGGAGGGAGUUAUUACUACAUAUUCUUUUUUUAAGGGCAUCAUGGAAAAAGAAAACAUAAAGGUGCAACUGCAGGAUGUGUGCAGCCACAAUUAGAAUGUAUAUUAUAAAUAAAUUCCCUAGAUCAUCCUAAACAUCGCCAAUUAAGAAUGCAGCUCUAGACUGAUCAGUCUAAUAAGCUCUAAUACAGUUCCUUUUAUCACAACUUUUAAAUUGAACUAUAAACUGAAAUAUUCAUUGUAAAAGUGCAAUAAAAAGAUAUGUUGUUUAGAUAUCUGCGUUUAGGCAAAAGCAGAAAUAAGUAGUGUAAAAAGAAAAAAACCUGUGUCAGAAAAUUUAUUUGCAUCACUGCUGACACAAAACAACACUGCGAAACCUACAGCGGCUGGAACGAAGAAAACAGCAUUAUAGUAGCAGUGGGAAUCAAAGAAACAGAGUCUGCUUAUUUGACUAAUCAUCAAAACAAUAGUGACAGCCUAAAUUUUGAUCUAUGUUUGCUGUUUCUACCUCUCACUGAACCCUUCCUCCAUCUCGGGGGCGUCAGCACUGGGGAUAUCUCCAGGAGAGCGGAGGUAACUUCUGUCUGCACUCUUGCCUCCAGCUGCUCCUGAGCAGGAGUCAGGAGUGGCAGGAUGGGGCUCCUCUGAAUCUUCAGUGCCAGGGUGCUCAAUCAUCCACAUGGCCAGCACAGUGAUGUUCUGAGCAUCUGCCUCACCCCGUGCACCUGGAAACACACAAAUAAUCACAAUACAUGCACAAUAAACACGUGAAGCCUGAGGGCCAUGAAACUAAACAAUCAGAAUCACUUCUUUAAAUUCUGCACCUAGUAGCAAGUGAUGUAUA
ensembl:lncRNA